rnacentral:tRNA from 1 species
UUUAUAAGAACAUUCUAUUCGUUGUGUUGUAACAGAAACAG